CAUUUACAUAUAUAUUUUUGAUGUCAUCUGCUAGAAAUCAGCUAAAACAAAUUCAUAAUUUUAGGAACCAUUAAAAAAAUUGUUAAUUUUUUCUAUUGGGCCAUA